GUGCGACCUCCCGCGCUGUUCCUUUUCUUCCGGGGAUCGCUGCUCUCCCACGCUCUCUGCGGGGCCUGUGACCUCCGGAGGGCAAGGCACGGGUCGGCCUCGAGCAGCAGGUUCCUGACCCGCGCCGGCGGGACCCAGCCGCACAAUGGGGUUUGAGGACACACGCUUGCUGCCUACCUGUGAGGAAAGGGUGAGCACUGAAGGCUGCACGGGGACCCAAUCCCUUCACCUAGAUGUGGGCUAACCUUACCUCCUAGACUAAGGUGGAGUUGGUAGAAGUGACCAGAAUGAUGGAAUCUCAUUGUCUGAAGAGAGCCAGCCCCUUGUCCUGCCUGCAGUGAAGGGCUUUGCUGCUGCUCACCCUGACAUUGGACAGCUUUUUACUGCAUUGUGGCCACCUGUCUGAACAUGAGAAGCUGCAAGCUGUGUGUGCUGGACCGGGUCAGCAUCAGCUGGAUGUGGCAGCUUGUCUAUUCAAGUAUGUUCAGACUGAAUCAGAGCUUCUCAUGAGCAUGAGUAUUAGACAAUGUAAUAAGAGCUUAUCUUGCCCAGAAAUUUAUAUAAUGGCUUAGAAAUGGCAGUUUCCAGAAAGAUCCUAAUAAAAUACUUUUAAAACUGUUUAA